AGUAAAGCUCGCUGAUAAAAUUAUUGAAGUAUUUGUGUACCGAAAUGUGGCCGCGAUCGCACACAGCCCACCUGAUGGGGACUUCAGCGUCCGUAUUCAUCGAAUCGAAGAACAGUUGAACUAACUUGUUAUCUUUAUUAGGAGGCGUCCUCGCAGUAGAUCCAAUAGACUCAGCUUAAAGAGCACGGACGGACGGUCCGCAAGUAAGCCUACUAGUGAUUUCCCACAACAGUGUUGGUAUAAUAGGAUAUUUGGUAACGACGCUCAAAAAUGUCGGCCCCGUGUUCUUAUACAACAAAACAUUCUUAAAACUAAUUAAUUUUUGCAAAUCGCUCACCUCGUCAUUUGUGACCACAAUACCAGCAUCAAGUUUCUAAUAGACACCGGCGCAGACGUGUCAGUAAUUCUACCCUCUUCAGCCGACAAGGGCAAAAAACACCUGUCUACGAACUUCUAUUCUGCAAACGUAUAGCGUAUGUCACUUGGUUUGCGCAGGAGUUUCGUGUGGAAUUUUUAUCUUGCCGAAGUCAAUUGUGCAAUCAUCGGCUCCGACUUUUUAAAAACAUAUGAUCUGCUUGUUGACAUUAAGAGAGGUAAAUUAAUUGAUCGCAAAACAAUGUUAGAAAGCAAAGGGAAUUUUGUUCAGCAAAAUUCCAUUACAAUUCUAACACAUUCAAGUGAUUCCAGGUUUUCGCACAUUUUACGUUACCAGUGUGUGCUCGCCCAAGACGACCGGUAGGAGAACGACUAGAAGCAACGAAGACAGAGUUUCAAUUUUUAAUGGAGAAGGGCAUUUGCAGACCUUCUAAAAGUCAAUGGGCGAGUCCACUUUAUCAUGUAAAGAAAGCGAAUGGGGAAAGGAGGCCGUGUGAAGAUUAUCGAGCACUCAACGCACAGACGGUAUCAGAUCGGUACCUAAUUCCAUUCAACCACAACGUUACAAACAUUCUUCAUGGUUGGCGGGUAUUUUCGACCCUCGAUCUACAGCGGGCUUACCACCCCCAAUCGAACCAGACGACAUUCCUAAAGGCUAUGUACAACAAGUUGCGCCUGAGUCUUGAGGUGAAAACUCUAACGACAUAUCAUUUUUAUCCACCCUAAUGCCAUAUAGUUCUCGGCACGUUUUAACCUUACCACUCUAACGCCACACAGUCCUCAACACGAUACAAAAUCUUGACUUGGUGGUAGAUUCAGGCUUGAUUAAUCAGAUACCUAAAUUACAGACGCAAUUUCUACAUUUAAAUCUUAUUAUUAUACACCAUUUAGUGGCUGCGCCCAUCUUAAAUAUUGAGGUUGUAUAGUGAACUGUAUUAUUCUUGUCAAGCCCCUUUAUUUGAUACCCAUAUUGAUACGCCAUAUCAACACCUUUGGGCCUAUUCGAGUUUGUGUAUAUGACGUUCGAAUUAAGGAAUGCAGCCCAAACAUUUUAGCCAUACAUUGAUGAGCUUUUGCGUGGCUUAGAUUGUACAUUUGCCUAUAUCGACGAUAUUUUGGUUGCAUCAAAUAGCGAGGAGCAACACGAGCGUAACUUGCGUGAAGUAUUCGACCGUUUGCGCAAAGAAAAUUUGUCCAUCAACGCCAGCAAGUGCAAAAUCGGCCAAUCCGAACUGAAAUUUUUAGGUCAUACAAUCACUAUCGACGGUCUCAAGUCUACGAAGGAAAAGGUAGAAGUCAUAUUGAAUUUCGGGAAACCAGCGAUAGCGAAAGAUUUAAAAAGGUUUUUGGGAAUGAUUAACGUCUACGGUCCAUUUUUGCCACAGGCUACAAAACACCAGUAUGUGUUACAACAGUUGGUCAGUGGUAACAAAAGUGCGACACAACCAGAAUUAGUUGAUCUGCGGAAGACGAAGAGGCCAUUAAAGAUUGUAAGUCUGAAAUAUACAACACGGCAUUAUUAUACUACUUGGCACCUGAAGGUAAAUUAACCCUAACAGUCGACGCUUCAGACACAGCAGUGGGUGCGGUGGGAGCGGUGCUUCAUCAAAUCGUCGAUAGCAGAGCAAAACCCCUUUGUUUUUAUUCCAAACGACUGACCGAUGCACAACGAAAUUAUAGUGCCUACGACAGAGAUUACUGCAGUCUAUCAAGAUGUUGAGCAUUUCAAACAUAUGUUGGAGGGGCGAGAAUUUCUUAUUUCACUUAUAUUCGCAUUUGAGCAAAGUUGUGAAAAAGCUUCGCCGAGGAGAGUGCGUCAAUUCGAUUAUAUAAGCCAGUACUCCACCGACAUCCAACAUAUUCGUGGAGCAGACAACAAUGUUGCGGAUUGGUUGUCUCGAAUCAAAACGCUCACGACAAAUGAAGUUAAUUUUGGAAUAAUGGCUGCCGAACAAGGGCACGACGAAGAGUUGAAGUCUCUUUUGGAGCCUGGUAAGACCUCUUCGCUUAAUUUAACUUUGUUGCAACUCCCAAAUACAGAUAAAUCCAUGUAUUUCAAUGUCAAUGGUCAACGGGUUCGAUCAUACGUUCCACCUAGUCAACGACAAUUGGUUCUGAGGAAGCUACAGGUAUUCCAAUCCCCGAUAUUUCUGCGCAUACGGUUGCAAAAGCUUUUGUCAACGGUUGGGUGUCUUUACACCGUGUUCCAGAGAAAAUCACUACAGAUCUUGGUCGGCAGUUUGAAUCGCCUCUGUUUGAACAGCUAACAAAAACGUUUGGCAUACGUCAUUUGCGCUCAACGGCUUACCACCCGCAAGCGAAUGGUCUGAUUGAGAGAUGGCAUCGAAAACUGAAGAGUGCCAUCAAAUGCUACGCAACAAAUUAUUGGUGUUUCGUUUUUUCACUCGUUCUGCUCGGACUUCGGACAACAGUGAAACCUGAUAUUAGUGCCAGCCCAGCCGAAAUGCUUUAUGGAACACAACUACGAUUGCCAGGCAAGAUUUUUGGACAGAGUAGGCUGGAAGAGAGCCAAAUUGAGUUCGUCAAGAAACUUCGAUCGACUUAAACCAGCACGCGUUUUUCUAGAAGAUACACCAAAAGGUGAGAAUACACAACACAACUCCACUGAGCCAAUUAAAGAGAGAUGCAAAUGAGAGCGUCAAAGACCAGAACAACACCAAAAACCUCCAGUAAAGUCUACAUGGUCGGGAAGACGCGUGAAAUUUCCUAAUAUUUAUUAUUAACGUAAAACCUAACAGGGGGUAUUGUGGUAUUUUGUAAAUAUUAUAUAUUACAAAUUGUACUAAUCGUUAAAAUUAUCUGUAUUAGUACUCUUUGUUUAAACAGUGAAAUACUUAAUGCAACAGUGUAAAAUGAUAUUAUUAUUUGUGAGUGCUAUAACCCACAACUACAUUCUUCAUUGCAUAUUAACAUAAAUAUUUUAGGAAUUAAUAAAAUGGAGAUUCUAAUAGUAGUUAUCAGAUAGUCGAAGAAACAACGUGUUUCAUUUCAUUUCUCAAGGGUUAGGUAUCAUCGGCCUAACCUCAUCGCUGAUACACUACAAUCCGAUACUCAUUAGAGGACCAACAAUUUGAAUAAUCAUAACAGAAUUCAAAAUAUAUUUAAAUAAUUGAGCAUUAGUUA